GUCUACCGCCAUGCUACCCUGAACAAGCCGGAGCCGGUCUGAUCUCGGAAGCUAAGCAGGGUCCGGCCUGAUUAGUACUUGGAUGGGAGACCACCUAGGAAGACUAGGUGCCGCAGGCG
rnacentral:rRNA from 1 species